rnacentral:rRNA from 1 species
CAGUAGCCGCGGUAACACGGAGGAUCCAAGCGUUAUCCGGAAUCAUUGGGUUUAAAGGGUCCGUAGGCGGUCUUGUAAGUCAGUGGUGAAAGCCCAUCGCUCAACGGUGGAACGGCCAUUGAUACUGCAGGACUUGAAUUAUUGGGAAGUAACUAGAAUAUGUAGUGUAGCGGUGAAAUGCUUAGAGAUUACAUGGAAUACCAAUUGCGAAGGCAGGUUACUACCAAUUGAUUGACGCUGAUGGACGAAAGCGUGGGUAGCGAACAGGAUUAGAUACCCCCGUAGUCCCUGUCUCUUAUAC